rnacentral:rRNA from 1 species
GUGAACCUGCGGSAAGGAUCAUUG